rnacentral:rRNA from 1 species
UACGUAGGGGGCAAGCGUUGUCCGGAAUCAUUGGGCGUAAAGAGCGCGUAGGCGGUCCGGUAAGUCCGCUGUGAAAGUCAGGGGCUCAACCCUUGAAUGCCGGUGGAUACUGUCGGGCUAGAGUCCGGAAGAGGCGAGUGGAAUUCCUGGUGUAGCGGUGAAAUGCGCAGAUAUCAGGAGGAACACCAAUGGCGAAGGCAGCUCGCUGGGACGGUACUGACGCUGAGGCGCGAAAGCCAGGGGAGCAAACGGG